AAACUUUGAUUACAAUAAAGAAACAAAUUCAACUUGAGAUGAAAUGAAAUAAACUGAUAUUGAAACGAAUGUAACUCACAAGAAAAACACGUCCGUACACUCUGGCUUCCCUUAGUCGUCAGGCGUAUUUAGAACAGCUUGCGGCAGCACCGCUUUAUCUUGCAACAUUCUACAAGACACACAUUUAAUUAAUGCUCUCUAUCUACAAUUUACAUAAAUAGUCCAUUUCACAACCACAUAGGAAACACACAUACACUACAUAACAGAGAUAUCAGAAAGUGAACAUCUGUAUAAUGUCAGUCGCAUUAUUAAGUUGCAUUAUUAUAAAACAACAUGUUCUAAUCUACCUUCUGUAACGUGCCGGAGUCAAACAGUUGUAGAGUUUGUUCUAGAAGUGAAACAAAUAUGGUCAUGAAAUAUUUCUAUUGUCUUCGUUUCUUAUGUACGCUGUAACUGACGGUCAACCUGUGUUGCUCACAGAGAGACUUGCAUGCAGCCAACCUCCGAUUUGUCUGGUCAGCCCAUGUAUGUAUUCUAACUGCCCUGAUACGUGCAUAAGAAAGCUGACCUAACCAUCGAAUUCAAGUUCCGAGCCAGCAGAGAGAUUUGGGAAUGAAAUAUAAAUAAGGAAAUAUGCCAUUAUCUUAGUCUUGCUUCCUUGUUCAGACAUGCCGUUUUGUUUGGGUGACUGCUACUAGUGACGUUCACGUUGGAAGCGCUCUGGGGUGUUUCUUUGUUCAGAGAGGCCUUUAUGUUUGGGUGACUUUAAAUAGUAUUGAUCAUUCUGGUGGUGUUGCUGUGGGCGUCAGAGGGAAAGUCAUUGACGCUGCUGGUGAUGGUGUUGCGUUGUUGUUUUUGUGGUGCUGAGGAUGGAUUUAUUGUUGCUGUUGUUGCGAGUGGUGGCGGUAUUGGUAGUGUUUGAGUUAUUGUUGAUUGUUUUCUGUUUGUUGAUAAUGUAGUGCUACACCUAUGUUUUGUUUUUUUCAUCAGAUUGUUAAAUUAAUUUUAAAAAAUGUUAAUAUUUAAAUAUAUAAAAUUAAGAUUCAUGACCCUAAAUCUAAUUGUGAAGUUUACUUUGAUUG
rnacentral:sRNA from 1 species